rnacentral:rRNA from 1 species
UACGUAGGGGGCAAGCGUUGUCCGGAUUUAUUGGGCGUAAAGAGCGUGUAGGCGGUUUGGUAGGUCCGCUGUGAAAGUCGGGGGCUCAACCCUCGGAUGCCGGUGGAUACUGUCGGGCUUGAGUACGGAAGAGGCGAGUGGAAUUCCUGGUGUAGCGGUGAAAUGCGCAGAUAUCAGGAGGAACACCUAUUGCGAAGGCAGCUCGCUGGGACGUAACUGACGCUGAGACGCGAAAGCGUGGGGAGCAAACAGG